UUUAUAUAGUUUAAUAAUAAAACUUAACUCUUUCAUAGUUAAAAUAGGAAGGAGAAUCCUUCCUUAUAAA
rnacentral:tRNA from 1 species